rnacentral:rRNA from 1 species
AGAGUUUGAUCAUGGCUCAGGACGAACGCUGGCGGCGCGCCUAACACAUGCAAGUCGAACGAGAAAGCGGGGGCAACCUCGCGAGUAAAGUGGCGUACGGGUGAGUAACACGUGGGUAAUCUACCUCAUAGUGGGGAAUAACGCUGGGAAACCGGCGCUAAUACCGCAUGAGCCCGAGAGGGGAAAGCAGCAAUGCGCUGUGAGAGGAGCCCGCGGCCGAUUAUGCUUGUUGGUGGGGUAAAGGCCUACCAAGGCGAAGAUCGGUAGCCGGCCUGAGAGGGCACACGGCCACACUGGCACUGAAACACGGGCCAGACUCCUACGGGAGGCAGCAGUGGGGAAUCUUGCACAAUGGGGGAAACCCUGAUGCAGCGACGCCGCGUGAGCGAUGAAGCCCUUCGGGGUGUAAAGCGCUGUCAGGGACGUGAAAGUCCACUUCGGUGGAUUGAUCUAACCCAGAGGAAGUCACGGCUAACUCUGUGCCAGCAGCCGCGGUAAUAC